GGCGGCGGCGCUUGUCCGUCCGCGCUCGCGUGUGAGGCAGUGGCAGCGGCUGGGUCUGAGCUCCGUUAACACACAAUUUUUAACCGCGGUGUAGUCGCCACCACCACCGCUGUUAUUGACUCAACGCUCCCUCCUAAAUCCGGUAGCCCGAGGGACGAGACUCGCCCUCGCUCGACUGCGAAACAUCGCCUCGAAAUCGGCGUUCCCCGAGGCUUGACGACGACGACGGCGGGGGGGGGGGGCGGCGUCCGGCGCGACCCGAAGACGUCCGGGCAAGUGGAUCUAGGCGAGCCGGAGCCCCAAGUCACGCGCUGCGGCUCGGCCUCUUAUCGCGGCCUUGUCAGUCCCACUGUUCCUGCGGGGGAGCGAUACGACAGUCGGCCUGAGUCGGGAGAGCUGGGGCGCUCGGGCACCGCCGGUCUGGGGCCGAGAGUGGCAAUGCGCCACCUCCCAUCGCGGUGGUGACCACGGCUUCUCAAGGCUUCAUCGCGAAAAUGAAGAAGAGACCCCAGGACACGCUUGACUUCCCCUGCCUUUUAAAUUAACGCAUCACGCCACCGAGUUCCAUCCCGACGACGAGGGGGGCUCAGCGGAGCGUACGACCCCCACAGGAGUAAAACAUAAAAAAAGAGACAAAAUCCAAAUCGUCACCAACGCAACCCCGCGUGCGUGCGUGCGCACACCAAUACCUGUCGCCCCGCCACCAAGCGCAUUUGCAAUGGUGACAUAACGUUGCCGUCUGCUCACGAGAUCGACGCAGCCCCCCCCCCCCCCGGCUACCGUCGACGGCGGCGCCGCCCCCUCCAGCCCGCGAAGGAUCGCAGCAGCACGGGCGCC